rfam:Chromatiales bacterium (ex Bugula neritina AB1) isolate AB1-2 AB833_contig000154, whole genome shotgun sequence.
AUACAGGGGCAGCGAACGCCUCACGAGGCGCCAGCCAAAGCAUCGCAUCCACUACUAUAACCACAUUUGCCCCGCAUACCCUCCAGAUACGUACGCGGGCUUAAAUGUAUUACUCAAAGGAUGCACCCAUG